rnacentral:lncRNA from 1 species
GAUUAGUUGUUUGACAAACUGUUAAUUUCAUUUUUAUACGACCGCAAAAAUUGAAAAAAAUUUGGUCGUAUAUUGGUAUCAAGUUGGCGUCGUCGUCGUCAUCGUCCGAAGACAUUUGGUUUUCGCACUCUAAUUUUAGUAAAUGUAAAUGGAAAUCUAUGAAAUUUAAACAAAGCCAGAACUGUGUAUAAAGAGGCAAAUAAUGCUAUGAAAAAUGCAGGAGAAAAAGAAAAGAAACUUAUGUUGUU